rnacentral:tRNA from 1 species
AGUUAAUGAGCUUGUAUAAGCGUAUAACUUGAAAUUAUAAGAAAGAGAAGAUAUCUAUUAACUU